GCCUUCCAUGAAGCUGGAAUUGCUGUAAUGGCAGGUCAGCAUACUGCCGUGAAUACGUUCCCGGGCCCUUGUACACACCGCCCGUCACACCAUGAGAGUUGGAAAUACCCGAAGCCUGUGAGCUAACUUAAAGAGGCAGCAGUCGAAGGUAGAGCCAAUGAUUGGGGUGAAGUCGUAACAAGGUAGC
rnacentral:rRNA from 1 species